UGCAGAAUCUCACUGGAGUAACUGAAA
rnacentral:piRNA from 1 species